GUACGCUGGCGGCACGCCUAACACAUGCAAGUCGAACGAAGUAGCAAUACUUAGUGGCAGACGGGUGAGUAACAUGUAGGUAUCUGCCCUUUGGCCUGGAAUAACACGAGGAAACUUGUGCUAAUACCGGAUAAGUCUUUACAGAGAAAGCUUUAUGCACCAUUGGAUGAGCCUGCACUUGAUUAGUUUGUUGGUGGGGUAAUGGCCUACCAAGACUGUGAUCAAUAGCUGAUUUGAGAGGAUGAUCAGCCACAUUGGGACUGAGACACGGCCCAAACUCCUACGGGAGGCAGCAGUGGGGAAUCUUGCACAAUGGAGGAAACUCUGAUGCAGCGAUGCCGCGUGAGUGAAGAAGGCCCUUGGGUUGUAAAGCUCUUUCGUCGGGGAAGAAAAUGACUGUACCCGAAUAAGAAGGUCCGG
rnacentral:rRNA from 1 species